CCUACGGUCUCAGCAGUGGGGAAUAUUGGACAAUGGGCGAAAGCCUGAUCCAGCCAUGCCGCGUGUGUGAAGAAGGCCUUCGGGUUGUAAAGCACUUUCAGUGGGGAAGAAAGCCUUGGGGCUAAUACCCUCGAGGAAGGACAUCACCCACAGAAGAAGCACCGGCUAACUCCGUGCCAGCAGCCGCGGUAAUACGGAGGGUGCGAGCGUUAAUCGGAAUUACUGGGCGUAAAGCGCGCGUAGGCGGUCUGAUAAGCCGGUUGUGAAAGCCCCGGGCUCAACCUGGGAACGGCAUCCGGAACUGUCAGGCUAGAGUGCAGGAGAGGAAGGUAGAAUUCCCGGUGUAGCGGUGAAAUGCGUAGAGAUCGGGAGGAAUACCAGUGGCGAAGGCGGCCUUCUGGACUGACACUGACGCUGAGGUGCGAAAGCGUGGGUAGCAAACAGGAUUAGAUACCCGGGUAGUC
rnacentral:rRNA from 1 species